GGAGAAUUAUUUAUUGACCAGGGUAACAUAUUAUUUUCUUUUUAUAUAGGGAUUUCUCAACAGUGAUCCUUUGUUUCAUAAAGAGAAGAGAAUGGAGCAGUUCAGACAUAGUAUUCCUAGAUACUAUCUCUGUAACCUUUGAGGCCACUUCCUCAUUUGAAAUAUGAAGACGGCUGAAACAACGAAACGAGCUACUGUGAAAUAAGUCAAUUACAAUCAAAUAUGAAGAGUCAACUAUUAGAAACGUUUUUAAAAUCCUAGCUUACUAAAACAAACUGCAACAAAGAAAGAGGAAAAUAAAGAAAGAAGGAAAGAAGAAGAAACGAAGAAAGGAAGGAAGACAUAAAGCCUGAUUCAAAGUGAUUUUAUAAAAAGCAACCAGUUUUUAUUAAUGUAAAUAUUAAUUUGUGAAAAUUACAUUAAUGAAGACCCCUUCACCGUAUAUUUUUAAAUGAAAAUCUUCUAAACACUUAUUUGCAUUUUUCUUCCUCUAUGUAAUGCAACGUAAAUUAAAACAGAUGGUUUCAGAAAUGCA